UUGAUCCCGAAGGCCAAAUUCUUGAUUGGCCACUUUCCGAGCAUCUCCAGGUACAUGGAUCAGAGCAUCUCCGAGUAUAUGAAUCGGAGCAUAUUCAGCACGUGAAUCAGAGUAUAUUCAGCAGUAUCAUGUAACGUACAACUCAAAAUGUUUCAAUGCAUUGUAUUAAUGGUUUGUAGUAAUGCUCAUUUCUUUGGGAUUCCAUACAACUCAUGGAGGAUACCACACAAAGACCAAUUUUCUAAAUUCUUGUGGAUAAAUAUAUCUCCAUGAACCCAAUAAAGUAUUUCAAACAUAUUAAGAACAAAAUGACUAACAGAGAUUGUCCAUCCAUAGCUAAGAAAAUAAGGUAAAAUUUGUGAAAAAUAGAUCAAAACCUUUCUCGAUCAUAGAGUCCCAAAAAAUCUAGAGAUCCAAGAUUGAGGUUUGGAUGUAAUUUUGGGAAGAGGAGGGGUUAUAUAAGGAAAGAGAGAGUAGGCAUGAGGCUAGGGGAAGAAAGUGAGAGAAGGGAACUGGGGGUAUUUAAAUAAUGGAGGGGAAAGAGGAUAUUAAUUUAAUAAUAAAAAUUUUAGCAGACGUGAGGAGAGAUUGAAUUUGGGUUUAUGAUGCUUGUGAAGGGGCAUUGAAAUCCAAGCUGGGAAAAUCCAAGCUAGGUUGCCUCCUUUAUCGGCUCACAUUUUUCGCUUUCGCCACAUCUUUAGGUCUUUCCUUCCACACAGCUAGAGAAAAAGAGAGAUGACGCCUCCAAAGGCCCACUAGCGGUGUGUGAUGGGAUGCAAUGAAAGAAAAAAUGGCACGAUCUCCUCCGCCAUUGACCGCAUCCAUCUCCUUCGGCGGGCUCUUCUCACCAUUUAAGAUAGUUUUGAAAGUGGACAAACUCACUGUAGCGAACGAUUUUGAAGCCCAUCAUUCCUUCUCCUCCACUGCUGCAUCCGCCUCUAACCUCCCCCGGUAGUGUCGUGACCAUCGUGAACUCAGAUUCCAUUGCCAUCCACAGUCGAUGCC
rnacentral:lncRNA from 1 species